GACGAACGCUGGCGGCGUGCUUAACACAUGCAAGUCGAACGGGGACGGAGAGCUUGCUCUCCUGAUCAGUGGCGAAUGGGUGAGUAACACGUGGGCAACCUGCCCCAGACUUCGGGAUAACGCUUCGAAAGAGGUGCUAAUACCGGAUACGAACUCCUUGGGCAUCCUUGGAGUUGGAAAGUUUUUCGGUCUGGGAUGGGCCCGCGGCCUAUCAGCUUGUUGGUGAGGUAACGGCUCACCAAGGCGACGACGGGUAGCCGGCCUGAGAGGGCGACCGGCCACACUGGGACUGAGACACGGCCCAGACUCCUACGGGAGGCAGCAGUGGGGAAUAUUGCGCAAUGGGCGAAAGCCUGACGCAGCAACGCCGCGUGAGGGAUGACGGCCUUCGGGUUGUAAACCUCUUUUAGCAGGGAAGAAGCGAAAGUGACGGUACCUGCAGAAAAAGCACCGGCUAACUACGUGCCAGCCGCCGCCGUAACAC
rnacentral:rRNA from 1 species